UGGGGAAUUUUGGACAAUGGGCGAAAGCCUGAUCCAGCAAUGCCGCGUGUGUGAAGAAGGCCUUCGGGUUGUAAAGCACUUUUGUCCGGAAAGAAAUCCUUGGCUCUAAUACAGUCGGGGGAUACGGUACCGGAAGAAUAAGCACCGGCUAACUACGUGCCAGCAGCCGCGGUAAUACGUAGGGUGCAAGCGUUAAUCGGAAUUACUGGGCGUAAGCGUGCGCAGGCGGUUUGCUAAGACCGAUGUGAAAUCCCCGGGCUCAACCUGGGAACUGCAUUGGUGACUGGCAGGCUAGAGUAUGGCAGAGGGGGGUAGAAUUCCACGUGUGAGCAGUGAAAUGCGUAGAGAUGUGGAGGAAUACCGAUGGCGAAGGCAGCCCCCUGGGCCAAUACUGACGCUCAUGCACGAAAGCGUGGGGAGCAAACAGGAUUNGAUACCCUGGUAGUCCACGCCCUAAACGAUGUC
rnacentral:rRNA from 1 species